ACUCCUGCGGGAGGCAGCAGUGGGGAAUAUUGGACAAUGGGCGCAAGCCUGAUCCAGCCAUGCCGCGUGAGUGAUGAAGGCCCUAGGGUUGUAAAGCUCUUUCACCGGUGAAGAUAAUGACGGUAACCGGAGAAGAAGCCCCGGCUAACUUCGUGCCAGCAGCCGCGGUAAUACGAAGGGGGCUAGCGUUGUUCGGAUUUACUGGGCGUAAAGCGCACGUAGGCGGACUAUUAAGUCAGGGGUGAAAUCCCGGGGCUCAACCCCGGAACUGCCUUUGAUACUGGUAGUCUUGAGUUCGAGAGAGGUGAGUGGAAUUCCGAGUGUAGAGGUGAAAUUCGUAGAUAUUCGGAGGAACACCAGUGGCGAAGGCGGCUCACUGGCUCGAUACUGACGCUGAGGUGCGAAAGCGUGGGGAGCAAACAGGAUUAGAAACCCUUGUAGUCCC
rnacentral:rRNA from 1 species